rnacentral:lncRNA from 1 species
AUAAUAAUAAUAAUAAUAAUAAUAAUGAAAGAUCCUUUGCUACGAUCUAGUGUGGAAGGGAUCAAGCUAUACGGCUCUUUAACUUAUUUGCCAAAGAAUUACCCUUUCUUUUUGUAUAAAAGAAAAGCCAUUGGAAUAAAAAACUCUUUCAAAAAGCCAGGUAUGGAGAUAACAAAUCUACUGCACUCGCGGACAAAUUAGAGGAAGAAAAUUGUAAGGCAUCAAAAUGAUCUUACACAGAAAAAAAAAAAGAAAAAUACAAAAAACCUUCUAUAAUCUCGAUUAAUCAAUUUGCAUCUCUCUCCGCCACAAAAUCAUCAGAUGUGUGGAAAAGACAGCUUCUUAAUUACCUCAAUCACGAAACUGAAUAUAGUUGAAUGCAGUAUAUCGCAUUCAACGUAUUUGAUUGAAUGCAGUAUAUCGUAUUCAACGUAUUUGAACUUAUACAAAGGUACAUAAAUAUCCAUCUAUACCAAAAAUAAGAUAUCCAACUCACUGGCCUGAACUAGUGUACAAAAAUAAACUAACCAUCAAUUUAUACAGAAGUUUGUUUUGACUACAGCAGAAAGCAUAUCCAAACGUUUGUUAACAAUAGGAGAAAUCAGUUGUUGUUUUCGGACGCAAAUAAUAACACAUAAACUGGACCAUAACUUACUGCUUUUAGUUGUCAGGAGCGAAACAAAUGGCGGCAUAUUCUCAAAGAGAACUACACCAGCAUCGGAAGGAUACACGAUCGAUUUCAGUAUUUUGGCGAACAUCUGUUAGAGCUCAAGCGCUGUUAAUCACGUUGCAGGCACGAAAUGGCAACCUACUUUUCAUCCAAAGCAUCCGAGCAGUACAAAUAGUGUCAGAAAAACGAUGUCAUGCUAUGACGUGCUUUCUUAGCAUCCUGUCGUGCUUCAACAUCGUGCUCACACUCUCGACGAUCAGUACGGUCUGUCAAUAUGCGUUGCAAAGCAUUUCAUAAUGUUUAAUAAAGUUUCAUCUACGUCAAAUAGAUCUUGCAAAGAGGAAUACAGCCAUACAACGAGAAAAGAAUGUACCAUGGUGAGAUUCAGGUUAAGAUCUUUCUAGAGAGCAAGUUUUANNNNN